AGCGAACGUUAGCGGCGCGCCUAACACAUGCAAGUCGCACGAGAAAGGGAGCAAUCCCCGGUACAGUGGCGCACGGGUGAGUAACACGUAGAUGACCUUCCCUGGAGUGGUGGAUAACCUGCCGAAAGGCGGGCUAAUACAGCAUGGGACCACAUGGUUUUUGACCGAGUGGUGAAAGCGGGCCUCUGUUCACAAGCUCGCGCUCUGGGAUGGGUCUGCGUCCCAUCAGCUAGUUGGUGAGGUAAUGGCUCACCAAGGCAUCGACGGGUAGCCGGCCUUAGAGGGUGGUCGGCCGCACUGGGACUGAGACGCUGCCCAGACUCCUACGGGAGGCUGCAGUCGAGAAUCUUCCGCAAUGGGCGAAAGCCUGACGGAGCGACGCCGCGUGGAGGACGAAGGCCUCGGUUGGUAACUCCUCGUCACGAGUUAAGAAGGGUAGUGCGGCGAAC
rnacentral:rRNA from 1 species